GACAAAAUGAGUGAUAAAAAGGGCAAGGCACCAGAGGCGAAAGGAUGUGACGGAGAAGGAAAAGGAAAGGGUGGAACGGGGGCAGCAGUACCUGGAAAAGAACACGGAAAGGAUCAUGGGAAAGAUCAUGGAAAAGAUCAUGGAAAAGGAAAAGAAGGUGGACAGGCUAAACCAGAUGAAAAGAAAGGAGGUCAUGGUCCUGGUAAAUGAAGAAGAACUCCUUGAAUCGACAUUCUGUGAUAAUGAUUGUAAAGAAUUUAAUACAUCUUUAAUAAACUAAUCCAGAAAAAGGCAA